AGGACUAUCCUAACCUUAGGGCAAGCAGCUUCAACGUAGAAGAAGGAAAAAGAGUGAAUGCAAGAAAUCUGCGCUUAAGGAAGCUGCGUUCAAGGCCUUCCUCAGCGGUGUCCUAGACAAAACCCGGGGCACACGAUGCAUCUUCCUCACGAGGAUUCUUCUAGCAUCAUGGCCUCCAGACUCGGCCAAGGAGACUGUAGAGGAAAGGAGCAUCUGAG
rnacentral:lncRNA from 1 species